UACAAGACGGGUUCGUCUGCAGACGAGGUAGGGGUCUAGGGGCGAGCGGGGACGUUGUGUGCCCGGCUAAGGCGUGCGGCGACCAAGAGGUGGAGGGGAGGGAGAGGAGCGAUGUCCUGCGGCGACCCGCUUCGAGCCGGGCGCAGCCGCCGCGGCCCCAGUGAGAGGACGGAGUUCGUCGCAGCCGCCGCGCCCUGCGUCGCCCGAGCCGGACAGUGGCUGCGCUCACAGGGAGAGCUCGCCGCCGCCACCGCCUAAGUCGCCUGCGCCCGGUACCGCCGCCGCCGCCGCCACCUGCGUCGCCCGAGCCGGACGCAGCCGCCGCCGCCCAGGUAGAGGAAAGAGCUCAUCGUCGCCCGAGCGCGGUGUGCUAAAUAAGCUGAGACCACUAAACAGUUGAAGACGAAAUCGCCGCCGCGUUGCCUCGUGAGGCGGCCCGGGGAACCGCCCUAGCCGCAGGCCUAGUAAAGGGCGGUAGCGUUCCCCCCACCCUGACGAGCCCGAGUAGACGUUCUCGGGGAGCGGCGGUACGGCGGACGACGGCGACUGCGGCAGUUGCCCUCGCCUGCUCGUCCUCUCUAGGACAGCUAGACUACCGCCUUCCCGCUCUAUUGGCCGAGGACAUACAAGACCUUCCAGAUGGAGCUCUAUUUAAACCUGUGGCCGUUCGAGGAGAGUCAUUUCGUACAGCACCCUAAACCCCUAAACGUGCAAAACCAAAAGACCAAACAUGCAUAACAGAUUUCUGAAGCAAUGUCCAAUGUGGUUCAGAGAGGAAACAAACUAAAACCAAGGUCGAAACUAGCCCUCGUGAUUGCGCUCGACCCUCUUUCGGGUUCGCGUAUAUUCUCUUGAGCUCCUUCUUCACUUCGAGGAGUAAAAGACACUUCUUCAUGGAACUCUGACAGGUACUCCUUCUGUGCGACUUAUAGAACGAACUAAAACAAGGGGUGGGUGACGUGCGGCGGCAGAUCUUGUGGAGACGAUGGAGGAGGGUUAGAGGCGGUGUUCUAAGAGGACAGGUCUAGGACCCGUUCCUUAUUUUUUUAAAUCAAGAACUUCGAAGAGGUAGUACGGCCUGCCUGUUGACAUAGGUCGUAGCAGCGGUAGCGAAUACCUCAAGGUGUGGUAACGGGUCAACAUGCUCUCGUACAAGUUAGAAGAGGUAAGUUCUGAUACGUUCACCACUUGAGACGGUUUGUUCUUCUAUACUCCUAUACCGUAUAUACGGGGUAUUCCAUCGAUAUACCAUUAAGUACACAACAUCAAACCUAAUGCCAGUGUGAAACUUCCCAAUCAUACUACGAGUUACUGUAUUGGACGUGACUAGAAGUGUCAGUAUAGUAGACUAUCUUCAAAUAGCUUAAAGUUAAUUUAAAACAACAUACAAUAGGUACUACAUUCACCUCUAUCCUUCAAUUUGUUUUAAUUUUUAACGUCGUGUUUCCCCUACAGGUGGUUACUAAACUGUACUAUUCUACAAUCACUUCAUACCUUUUGAUACUGUAAUCGUUUUGAAGAUAAAUGUAUAUAAGUAUAUAUAUUUAAAACCUUUACACGUAACGUGCAUAUAGCAUGGAGAGAAGUAAUAAGUUUUAUGAACAUGGGUGAUACUAAAGUAAAAAAUAAUAAAUGGAACUUCCUCUUAAUAUAAUUACAAUAAACAACAGGUUGAACUAGGAAGUGACGAUAAAAAGGAUGAUUCGUUGAAACGUACCUCAAUCCUAGUAAAGCAUUCUAAGACUAUACAAAAAGUUUAAGCGAAGGAAAUACGUACUUGGAUAGUAGUUCUAAAUCUGGAGAAUAUACCGCGUACAUACGACAACAUUCUUCUUUACAUUAUAACAGGAGUAGUUAAAGAAAGCAUCGUACGUGUUACACAAUGUUGUAGUUAAAGUAACCAAACCUCUUCCACUAUUUGUACGUUGGCAAGAAUGAACUACUAUACUUACGAAGUAACCUCGUUAUAACCGGAAACAAACGUGUAAUCACAAGGUAAUACAUCAUUUUCUACACCAGACCAUCGGAAAGAAGUAACAAUGUCAAUAACCGUUUAUCACCUUAUAACCACGGACCAUCGAGACCAAGUACACACGCACUGCUUUGUAGUAUUUUAGUAUAAAGAACAACAUAGUACUCAGUAUACUUUUCCUUCCGAUACGCUAAAUACAAAAAUCAAAAAGAUAACGAGCACAAUUUCUAGAUCCGUAUGUAAAGUCUAUAUUUAAACCCGUAUUUAACAGUGUUUAUCUACCCACCGUACCCAGUUCCAAGUCUUUGGGUCCCGUAGUACAAAGAAAGUUCGGUAUACUCCUCUUAAUGUAGGUACAUGAUUUUUUAAUCCGCGAACGAAUUCACUUUUUUUACGUUGAGAACGACUGGCCCUGUAAGUACCAUCACCGAUGUUAUAUUAGUCUCUCGGUACAUGUACAACUAACAAUACUUUGGUACCCUACCUUAGAACUAGAGGCCACAGGUCUUUAGAUAAAACAGUCUCUUUUUUAGCGUGGAAUUAAAAGGGGAAGCCUAAUACUUUAUAAAUCCAAUUGUUCUACGGUACAUUCAACCCAACUCUAGACGAUAUGUCACUGAAAGAAAACAAGUUUAUAAAAUAAAAAAAGUAAAAGUACGACAGCUUCAUAAACAUGAACACUAAAGGACUUCAAAACACUUUAUAACUUCCUAUAGAACCUUGCUGUUUCAAGGGUCAGAAGUACGAUCCACUAUCCUGUG
rnacentral:rRNA from 1 species